rnacentral:lncRNA from 1 species
AACUAAAGGCUCUAAAGAGCCUGUGUCGCUCACCUUGGUCUAUGUGAAUAUGAAACAAAGGACACAGAUGGGUUCAUGACAAAAUUGUGUUUUGGUGAUGGUGAUGUGUUUGUACAUCUUACUUUACUGAACAUUCUUGCUGCUUACAAUUAUUUCUAUCUAUAAUGAACUUGGCCCAGUAGUUUCAGUGGAAAAUGUUAGUAAAAAUUAACAAAUUUUAUGAAAAUUGUUAAAAAUUGACUAUCAAGGACAUA